CUUCCGCGUUACCUGAAUGAAUGACCUCCAGAGCUUGUUUAUAGGACGCAAUCGAGGUACCUGAUUUCUUCUGUUCAACAAAAGCCACCUUCUCAAUACUGACAGUCUCAAAAGCUUGACAUAGAGUUUCAUGAAUUUCGCCAUCCAUCUCCACAUAUUUGAAGGAGGAUAAAUGGCUCACAAAGAUGUCCUCUUCGCCACACACGGUCACAACUUGAC
rnacentral:lncRNA from 1 species